UACGUAGGGGGCGAGCGUUAUCCGGAAUUACUGGGCGUAAAGCGCACGUAGGCGGCUUUGCAAGUCAGAGGUGAAAGCCCGGGGCUCAACCCCGGAAUUGCCUUUGAGACUGCAUCGCUAGAAUUGUGGAGAGGUAAGUGGAAUUCCGAGUGUAGAGGUGAAAUUCGUAGAUAUUCGGAAGAACACCAGUGGCGAAGGCGACUUACUGGACACAUAUUGACGCUGAGGUGCGAAAGCGUGGGGAGCAAACAGG
rnacentral:rRNA from 1 species